rnacentral:rRNA from 1 species
AGAGUUUGAUUCUGGCUCAGAUUGAACGCUGGCGGCGUGCCUAACACAUGCAAGUCGAGCGGUAACAGGUGUAGCAAUACAUGCUGACGAGCGGCGAACGGGUGAGUAAUGCUUCGGAAUCUGCCCAAUGGUGGGGAAUAACCAGCCGAAAGGUUGGCUAAUACCGCAUACGUCCUACGGGAGAAAGCAGGGGAUCGUAAGACCUUGCGCCAAUGGAUGAGCCGAAGUCGGAUUAGCUAGUUGGUAGGGUAACGGCCUACCAAGGCGACGAUCCGUAGCUGGUCUGAGAGGACGACCAGCCACACUGGGACUGAGACACGGCCCAGACUCCUACGGGAGGCAGCAGUGGGGAAUAUUGGACAAUGGGGGAAACCCUGAUCCAGCGACGCCGCGUGUGUGAAGAAGGCCUGCGGGUUGUAAAGCACUUUUAGUGGGGAUGAAAAGUUCAGGGCUAACACCUCUGGAUCUUGACCUAACCCACAGAAAAAGCACCGGCUAACUCUGUGCCAGCAGCCGCGGUAAUACAGAGGGUGCAAGCGUUAAUCGGAAUUACUGGGCGUAAAGCGUGCGUAGACGGUUACAUAAGUCGGGUGUGAAAGCCCCGGGCUCAACCUGGGAAUUGCAUUCGAGACUGCGUAGCUAGGGUGCGGAAGAGGGAAGCGGAAUUUCCGGUGUAGCGGUGAAAUGCGUAGAUAUCGGAAGGAACACCAGUGGCGAAAGCGGCUUCCUGGUCCAGCACCGACGUUCAGGCACGAAAGCGU